rnacentral:lncRNA from 1 species
AAAAGGGUCUGGGGUGUCACCGGGGGGAUUUGGGGUGACACUGAGGGUUCCCAGGUGUCACCAGGGGUGUCCCCGGGGUGUCCCUGGUUGUUCCCAGGGUGUCACCGAUUGUUCCCAGGUGUUCCCAUGUGUCACCAGGUGUUCCCGGGUGUCACCAGGGGUGCCCCCAGGGUGACACCGAUUGUUCCCGGGUGUCACCGGGUGUCCCCGGGGUGUCCCCGCGUGUUCCCAGGUGUCACCAGGGGUGGCCGCGGGUGUCACCGACUGUUCCCAGGGUGUCCCCAGGUGUCACCGAUUGUUCCCAGGUGUCCCCGGCUGUCCCCAGGUGUCCCCAGGGUGUCCCCGGUGUCCCCAGGGUGUCCCCAGGUGUCCCCAGGGUGUCACCGAUUGUCCCCAGGGUGUCCCCAGCUGUCCCCGGCUGUCCCCGGGGUGACACCGAUUGUUCCCAGGUGUCACCAGGGGUGUCCCCAGGUGUCACCGAUGGUUCCCCGGGGUGUCCGCGGGUGUCCCCGGGCGCGGGUCCCACCUGGAAGCCGUCCUCGUGCCGUUUCCACACGCAGGUGGUGCCGUCGAAGCUGGCCGAGGCCAGGUACAGCCCACACGGGGACCAGGACACCCGGCGCACCGUGCGCUGGUGGGCGUCAGCCAGCACCGCCCGGCACGACCAACCAGAGCCUGACGGACGGACAGACAUACGGACACACGGACGGACGGACACAUGGACACACGGACACAUGGACACACGGACGGACGGACACACGGACAGACGGACGGACAGCGGGACACGGACGGACAGACGGACACACGGAUGGACGGGGGGACACCGGGACAGACAGACAGCCGGACACACGGAUGGACGGACAGACAGCAGGACACACGGACGGACAGACAGACGGAGAGAUGGACGGACAGACAAUGGGACACACGGACGGAUGGGGGGGGACAACGGGACAGGCAGUGGGGACAACAGGACAGCGGGACAGACAGACGGCGGGACAGACGGACAGACGGAGGGACAACGGGACAGACGGACAGCAGGACAGGGGGACAGACAGUGGGGGGACAGACAGCGGGGACAGUGGGACAAGGGGACAGACAGACGGACAGACAGUGGGGACAGAGAGUGGGACAGACAGACGGACAGACAGCGGGACGGACACCGGGGACAGAGAACAGAGAUCUCUCUUA